UUUUAAAGCACCUAUUAGUGUUUGGACCAAUUACUGGAAUAGGUGUUGGUGGUAUUAGGUGGUUAUUUGAGACAAUGUGUUUAUUCUUAGAAAGUAUUUAAUAAAAUAUUUUGGAAUGAAGUGUUAUAAAGUCAAUUGAUUUUUAAGAAAAAAAGAUACAUGUAUGUAUACAUAUAAAGCAAAUAUGCAAAAUUGUUAAUUUUAAACCAAGGCGAUAUAUAGUGAGUAAUCUUUGUAUCAUUCUUUUCAUUGUUUAUAAAAACAUUGGGGGUAUAUCUAGGUCAUUUUAUUCCAGAUCUGCAAUUAUGGCUUAUUAUCAAGGAAGCUGCCAAAACAAUUUGAUUUGCUGUCUGACAUGUAAGACCCAGAAACAAAAGAAUCAACAUACAUACAGAGGUAGGAGGAAACCAUGCUACCUUCAAAGAACACGCAAGAGCUGCUGAUGGAAAACUUCAAGCAGAUGGAGAAGUAAGGAGAAAAAUAUAGUAAGUUCCCACUCCCCAUCUGAGCCACGUAACUCAUGGCGCAACUUGAAUUUUGAGUAUUUUGAAUUUUUCCUUGCUGUUAUGUCGUAUGUGAAAAAUCCUUUAUACAUGUGUGCACAAAACACCUUCUUCCUUAACACAUUAAAAUACCAUUGUCACAACUAGAAAAUUAAUGAUUCCCUGAUACCCAAGCAUUUUUUAAAGCAUUGGAUAAACAUGUUUUGGUAAAUAAUAUUCACUUAAGAAUACAUAUACUCACCCAGCA
rnacentral:lncRNA from 1 species